CUAAAACUAAAAAUUGUCUUCAUUGUAUUGAUAUAAUCGCCGACCACUGUAUUAGAAAAUCGUUAUCAUUAACUCUUGAUUUGGUAGGCUUGCAAUUUUUAAGAAAAUUAUUAUUUCAAUCGAUUGAUCAAUUAAGCUUGAGAGGAUAAGUUCUCUGCUUUUGUUAAGAUACCUGGGGAGUAAUUAGGACUACUUUGAAGCAACCCAAUUGUCAAAACCUAAGGGAUGAUUAUUUUCACUUUUAUUUUUUGCCGCCUGGUGUGAUUUUAGAAUUUAAAUAGAUGUGGCACUGAAACUGGAUGUAUGAGUGUGGUUGAGGACUGGACAACAAGCAGUUCGUGGACUAAGCAAUCAUAAGGCAUGAACCGGCCUAACCUUGUAAGGGAUGUCUAAGUUUGGUCCCUGUAUAGUGAAAUGUAGACCAGAGAAAUUUUGGCGCAGAGGUUUGAUCCAUAUUCCAUAGCUCCGUAAACAUGCAACUUUCAGUUUUGGCAUCUGCAGACGAAACAUAGCCUGAAAGUUGCAGAUGGACCAGUUCUGUCUUAUCUGCUACGCUGUGAGUUAGAAGAGCUGGAAAGGGGUCAGUUUCUUAUGGCAGGGUUCAGUGCGGCUGUUUUUUUCCUGGUUAAACUGAAACAAGUGGUGUAGAGCGGAAGAACUUCCUCUCCAUAAGCCAAAGGAAUUGAAGGAGUCGAGCUCAGUUAAAACCCAAGUCAGGAUUGGUUCUGGUUCGACCAAUGAGAGACUGCUUAGAAAGCUUUCUCUCUGCAGCAGACAGAUCAGCUGGGACAUACAAGGAGAUGUAAAUUUCGAAAAUUCAAACUUUAUGUAGAUACAUUAUUUUCAUAUUAUGUUUAGUUCAUGCCUUUGAUCAAAUUGGACACUACAAAUAAUUCCCAAGAAUUUUAAUGUAUAAACAUAAUAGUUUUUACGAAAUUUACGAUCAUCAGCUUUUGGAGACCCAAGCCUUAAAGAGCGAAGAACCCAAGGCAAUUGGUUUUUACUUAACCCAAUGCAAUACAAAACCCGAGUCUUGACUUGAGCUUUACUUGGGUCUAAGUAGACGCUAAGACCGGGUUAUAAUCUUAAAGCAAUACUUUUUUUUGAAAAAUCGAUAAAAUUUAAA